GUGGGGAAUAUUGGACAAUGGGGGGAACCCUGAACCAGCCAUGCCGCGUGUGUGAAGAAGGCCUUUUGGUUGUAAAGCACUUUAAGCGAGGAGGAGGCUACUGAGAUUAAUACUCUUGGAUAGGGGACGUUACUCGCAGAAUAAGCACCGGCUAACUCUGUGCCAGCAGCCGCGGUAAUACAGAGGGUGCGAGCGUUAAUCGGAUUUACUGGGCGUAAAGCGUGCGUAGGAGGCUUUUUAAGUCGGAUGUGAAAUCCCCGAGCAUAACUUGGGAAUUGCAUUCGAUACUGGGAAGCUAGAGGAUGGGAGAGGAUGGUAGAAUUCCAGGUGUAGCGGUGAAAUGCGUAGAGAUCUGGAGGAAUACCGAUGGCGAAGGCAGCCAUCUGGCCUAAUACUGACGCUGAGGUACGAAAGCAUGGGGAGCAAACAGGAUUAGAAACCCUGGUAGUCC
rnacentral:rRNA from 1 species